rnacentral:pre_miRNA from 1 species
GUCAUACUCCCUCCGUCCCAAAAUUCUUGUCUUAGAUUUGUCUAGAUACGGAUGUAUCUAGUUACGUUUUAGUAUUAGAUACAUCCGUAUCUAGACAAAUCUAAGACAAGAAUUUUGGGACGGAGGGAGUAUUAG